rnacentral:rRNA from 1 species
AGAGUUUGAUCCUGGCUCAGAUUGAACGCUGGCCGCAGGCCUAACACAUGCAAGUCGAGCGGUAACAGAAAGUAGCUUGCUACUUUGCUGACGAGCGGCGGACGGGUGAGUAAUGCUUGAGAACAUGCCUUGAGGUGGGGGACAACAGUUGGAAACGACUGCUAAUACCGCAUAAUGUCUACGCACCAAAGGGGGCUUCGGCUCUCGCCUUUAGAUUGGCCCAAGUGGGAUUAGCUAGUUGGUGAGGUAAUGGCUCACCAAGGCAACGAUCCCUAGCUGGUUUGAGAGGAUGAUCAGCCACACUGGGACUGAGACACGGCCCAGACUCCUACGGGAGGCAGCAGUGGGGAAUAUUGCACAAUGGGCGCAAGCCUGAUGCAGCCAUGCCGCGUGUGUGAAGAAGGCCUUCGGGUUGUAAAGCACUUUCAGUCAGGAGGAAAGGUUAGUAGUUAAUACCUGCUAGCUGUGACGUUACUGACAGAAGAAGCACCGGCUAACUCCGUGCCAGCAGCCGCGGUAAUACGGAGGGUGCGAGCGUUAAUCGGAAUUACUGGGCGUAAAGCGUACGCAGGCGGUUUGUUAAGCGAGAUGUGAAAGCCCCGGGCUCAACCUGGGAACUGCAUUUCGAACUGGCAAACUAGAGUGUGAUAGAGGGUGGUAGAAUUUCAGGUGUAGCGGUGAAAUGCGUAGAGAUCUGAAGGAAUA